AUUGAACGCUGGCGGCAGGCCUAACACAUGCAAGUCGAGCGAGCGGCGGACGGGUGAGUAAUGUCUGGGAAACUGCCUGAUGGAGGGGGAUAACUACUGGAAACGGUAGCUAAUACCGCAUACCAUCAGAUGUGCCCAGAUGGGAUUGGCUGGUGGGGGGGGUAACGGCUCACCUAGGCGACGAUCCCUAGCUGGUCUGAGAGGAUGACCAGCACUACUGGAACUGUGACACGCACCAGACUCCUACGGGAGGCAGCGGUGGGGAAUAUUGCAAGAGGGGCGCAAGCCUGAGGCAGCCAGGCGGCGUGUGUGAGGAAGGCUUUGGGGUUGUAAAGCACUUUCAGCGGGGAGGCGUUACCCGCAGAAGAAGCACCGGCUAACUCCGUGCCAGCCGCCGCGGUAAUAC
rnacentral:rRNA from 1 species